UACAGAGGGUGCAAGCGUUAAUCGGAGUUACUGGGCGUAAAGGGCGCGUAGGCGGAUGUAUGUGUGUGAUGUGAAAGCCCCGGGCUUAACCUGGGAAGUGCAUCGCAAACUGUAUAUCUAGAGUAUAUGAGAGGGUGGCGGAAUUUCCGGUGUAGCGGUGAAAUGCGUAGAGAUCGGAAGGAACGUCAAUGGCGAAGGCAGCCACCUGGCAUAAUACUGACGCUGAGGAGCGAAAGCGUGGGGAGCGAACAGG
rnacentral:rRNA from 1 species